UACGAAGGGGGCUAGCGUUGCUCGGAAUCACUGGGCGUAAAGGGUGCGUAGGCGGCUUUGCAAGUGACGGGUGAAAUCCCUCGGCUUAACCGAGGAACUGCCUGUCAAACUGCAUGGCUUGAGACCGGGAGAGGUGAGUGGAAUUCCCAGUGUAGCGGUGAAAUGCGUAGAUAUUGGGAGGAACACCAGGUGGCGAAGGCGGCUUGCUGGGCCUUACC
rnacentral:rRNA from 1 species